AUUGAACGCUGGCGGCAUGCCUUACACAUGCAAGUCGAACGGCAGCGGGCCCUUCGGGGUGCCGGCGAGUGGCGAACGGGUGAGUAAUGCAUCGGAACGUACCCGGGAGAGGGGGAUAACCGGCCGAAAGGCUGGCUAAUACCGCAUGAACUCGGAAGAGCAAAGCGGGGGACCUUCGGGCCUCGCGCUCUCGGAGCGGCCGAUGUCCGAUUAGGCUAGUUGGUGGGGUAAAGGCCCACCAAGGCGACGAUCGGUAGCGGGUCUGCGAGGACGAUCCGCCACACUGGGACUGAGACACGGCCCAUACUCCUACGGGAGGCAGCAGUGGGGAAUCUUGGACAAUGGGCGCAAGCCUGAUCCAGCAAUGCCGCGUGGGUGAAGAAGGCCUUCGGGUUGUAAAGCCCUUUCGGCGGGGAAGAAAUCGGUCAGGCGAAUAGUCUGGCUGGAUGACGGUACCCGCAGAAGAAGCACCGGCUAACUACGUG
rnacentral:rRNA from 1 species